CUACGUGCCAGCAGCCGCGGUAAUACGGAGGAUGCGAGCGUUAUCCGGAUUUAUUGGGUUUAAAGGGUGCGUAGGCGGCCUGUUAAGUCAGCGGUGAAAUCUAGGAGCUUAACUCCUAAAUUGCCAUUGAUACUGGCGGGCUUGAGUGUAGAUGAGGUAGGCGGAAUGCGUGGUGUAGCGGUGGAAUGCAUAGAUAUCACGCAGAACUCCGAUUGCGAAGGCAGCUUACUAAGGUACAACUGACGCUGAAGCACGAAAGCGUGGGUAUCAAACAGGAUUAGAUACCCUGGUAGUCCGCACAGUAAACGAUGGAUGCCCGCUGUUGGUACCUGGUAUCAGCGGCUAAGCGAAAGCAUUAAGCAUCCCACCUGGGGAGUACGCCGGCAACGGUGAAACUCAAAGGAAUUGACGGGGGCCCGCACAAGCGGAGGAACAUGUGGUUUAAUUCGAUGAUACGCGAGGAACCUUACCCGGGCU
rnacentral:rRNA from 1 species